UGCGCAGGCAGCAAGGCCUAGUAUCCUCC
rnacentral:piRNA from 1 species